ACAAGGAAGAAAGUUGUCCAAAGGAGUUCUUAAAAGACCAACACCGCGUGGCCCAGGUUGCAGGGCAGCAUAAAUAGCCCCUGCCUGUGGGCCAAGGAAGCGCUCAUUUGCCUGGAGACCCUGAGUCCUCAAGGAAGCAAUGGCCCUGCUUCUCCUCUCCGUGCUGGUCCUGCUCACACAGCCUCCAAGGUCAUGGGGAGCAGAAGUGACGACCCUUCCCCAGCAACCUUUGAUUGAUGCCUGCACCCUGGUCAUGUGUAGCCCUGUGGAGAAUGGCCUGCCUGGUCGUGAUGGACAAGAUGGGAAAGACGGCCCCCGAGGCGAGAAGGGGGA